rnacentral:rRNA from 1 species
UACGUAGGGUGCAAGCGUUGUCCGGAAUUAUUGGGCGUAAAGAGCUCGUAGGCGGUCUGUCGCGUCUGCUGUGAAAACUCGGGGCUUAACCCCGGGCCUGCAGUGGGUACGGGCAGACUAGAGUGCGGUAGGGGAGACUGGAAUUCCUGGUGUAGCGGUGAAAUGCGCAGAUAUCAGGAGGAACACCGGUGGCGAAGGCGGGUCUCUGGGCCGUAACUGACGCUGGGGAGCGAAAGCAUGGGGAGCGAACAGG